rnacentral:rRNA from 1 species
UGGCGGACGGGUGAGUAACACGUAGGUAAUCUACCUUUGGAUGGGGAAUAACAACCGGAAACGGUUGCUAAUACCGCAUAAUGCAGCGGCACCUAAUGGUGACAGUUGUUAAAGCGGGGGAUCGCAAGACCUCGCGUCUGAAGAGGAGCCUGCGGCAGAUUAGCUAGUUGGUAAGGUAACGGCUUACCAAGGCGAUGAUCUGUAGCCGGCCUGAGAGGGCGGUCGGCCACACUGACACUGACAUACGGGUCAGACUCCUACGGGAGGCAGCAGUCGGGAAUUUUGGGCAAUGGGCGAAAGCCUGACCCAGCAACGCCGCGUGAAGGAUGAAAUCCCUCGGGAUGUAAACUUCGCAAGAACGGGAAGAAUAAGUAAGGGUUAAUAUCCCUUGCGAUGACGGUACUGUUUGUAAGCUCCGGCUAACUCCGUGCCAGCAGCCGCGGUAAU